rnacentral:tRNA from 3 species
GGCUCCUUGGUCAAGCGGUUAAGACACCGUCCUUUCACGGCGGUAACACGGGUUCGAGUCCCGUAGGAGUCACCA